ACCUGUACCUCUCUCACUCCCAUUCUCACCUCUCUCGAAUCUCAGUAUCUUCACUUUCUUCCUCACCUCACCUCAUUAUAGCUCAACCCUCAUCUCUCUCUCUCUCUCAAAUUAAAGGUGCAUCUCAACCGCAAUUAGAGCUCUUUCUUGAGGCUUGAAGUUGGGGCUUUUACUUGGGAUUUCAGUUAGGAUUUUCAAUUAAGGUGAAGAUAUCCAGGAAGGUGUUCAUAUACCGAGUAUGUCACUAAAUGAUACUUCAGAUUUUAUCCAUUCCGGGUUCAUCCACAACCUAAGCAUUUUACUGGGUACCACCAAUAGAAAAGAAACGGACUGGACCAUGAUGAUUCAAUAUUGAUGAUUCUGACCUCCAUGAGAUGGAGAAGUGUGAAGGAGUGGUGGUUAUAUCAGCUAUAUUUGGAUAUACAAAAGUCGGGUGAAGAAAGAUCUCAUUAUAUCCGAUAUGAUAAUGAUGAGGAAAGGCUUAAAAACAAUCCUUUUAGAUUGAUUUUUGUAAGGAUGGUUUAUAAGUUGGUACCUUAGUCUUGUUUUUAUGUAUCUUUCAACUUGAUGACUAUGUUUGUACUUUGAAUUCUAUUUUGGUCAAUUUUCAAGUUAAAAAAAUU